CAAAUGCCCAUGCUCAGAAGACAGCGAAGAAGAGCACUUCAACCUGAGAGUAUACAUUGUCAAGAGAUGCAGAGAAAAGUGCCAGACCGUUCACACCCUGCCAAAUGGGAUUGAAGAUGCAGCUGUUAAGACAAUGAGUAUGUGCUGUUGCCUGAACCAUCCAUAAAGAGAACCUGUACACCCUUGAUAGGUGAGGAUAUACAGAUUGUUUCUUGAGUAUUUACUUGGGCACGAGUCACUUACAUGACCCCAAGGUAAUUUUGAUGUUUUUGCCACUAAUCUCAGUAAAUCAUUCAGUUACUGACCUAAGACUGUCUUCCCACAGAUUUCAUUGGAAAUGUCAUUAAGAUGCCAGAAGGGGGCAACCUUUCCUCUUUAUCUUGGCGGACACAAAACCCCAACGGUGCCGACUUUUUCCCAGGACAGACAACCAUGACGAGCCUCACAGCCUGAAAAUGUUGGAAGAGGGUCCCAUGCUGCAUAACGCACUGUCAGUCCUGAAAAGUUGGGGGAGAAAAUUGCUCCCUCAUUAAGGCUCACAGUAGUUAACCGCUUCCGCAAGACUCAACGCCAGACCUUUUAAAGAGCCCAACCGCCGGGAGAAGUGGCAACGGGAAGGCACUUGUGGCAGGGGAGUGUCUGUGUGGGCGAAAUUCCCUCCGUUUCUCGCCAACACCGGAAUUAACACUGCUCCGCUCUGAAGCUUAAAAGUGUUUCAGGCGCGUGAUAUUAACCCGCUUCCUAAACUGGCCGUUCCGGGGUCGUCAGAGCCACCGGGGGCCCCGCGUGCGCCUAGAACACGGACACCACCCCGGGCUCUGCGCCUCCGUCCUGGGUGAUAUCCAACGGCUCAUCUUUCUCAAAGAAGAGCAAGUCCAUCAGAAGGCUGUGAGCUGCGAAGAUUCGUGUUCUUUUUCUUCCCUCGCUGCCCAGGAUCAGUAUAAGGUAAUGGUGACCCAAGGUCCAGACGGGGAAAGGGCGUAGAACAGACUCAGCUCUGAAGUCACUAUCUUGUCAGUAGUAAAGCUAACACCUUCAUUUCCCUUCUGUAUCUUAUCUUGAGUUGGUUCUGAAGGUGGAAAGGGAAGAAAGCACGUUAUUUGUCACCCUCCCCCAACCCUUAUUCCCGGAAGGUCCUAAGACUCAUUUGUUCUCAAUGGACUAACAUCACACACAGAGCUGGGACAUUCGCUCUCACAGAUUAAUGGGCCCAUCCAUUUUCUUUUGUCU
rnacentral:lncRNA from 1 species